GUGAACUUUCCUUUUUUAUGAAAUCAUAUUAUAUAUACAUAUAUUUUCGUUUUUCAAUUCUUUUUUUUUACUUUAUAAAAAAUUUCUUUUUUAUUAUAUGUGUAUAUUUUCGAAAUUUUUAAAAAGGAAACUAAAUAAAAUAAAAAAUAAUAGUAUUUUAUAUGUAAGUUAAUUCAUUAAGGGUAUCAGUGUAAUCAACAAUCGUGAGAGUUAACGUGAGAGCGACACAUAGGAAAUGACUUCUCAAAUAAUAUUAUAGAGAUAUAGCCACGCCUUCUCAAAUGCAUCAAACCAAACUAAGACCAAUAAAACAUUAUAGCCAUUAUGAACUAACGUGGACUAACGUGAGCAAGCAAAGAAAAUCAAGAGCAAAAAUGUAUUGAGGCAAAACCUGUUUAGGGUUUGUCUAUUGAUUAUGUGAAUUGAAAAAAAUUUACAAUCUCUUAGACUCAGUAUUUAUCUUAGCCCCAAAAUCAAAUCUCAAUUUCUUUUUAAACAGUUCGUGAAAAUGAAAUUUUCUUAAACCGAAAAACCACAACAAAUGUUGGUAUUUUACUGGUGGUUAAAACAUUUUCAGAAUUAACAUGACAUAUAAUGAAACAUCUCCGCAAAAUUAAGAACGUCAAAAUAAGCCGUAAGUUCAUAAGCUUGCUCAACUCUGCUUAAAUUUUUCAUAAGUAUGGACAUCUUUUAGGCUCAUUUAUAAAUGAACUUAAUAAUCAAGCUUAAUUUAGAUCACAAGUUACAUUAAAGCUUAACUAAUUCAUGAGGUUGGUAUUUUUUGAGUUAAAACUAUAUAUAUAUAUAUAUCUUAACACUUGAGCUUUUGUUUCAUUUUUUAAUUUUAUAAAUUAAAUAUAGUGACAUAUAAAUUAUCUAACACUACUAAAAGCUGAAUAAGGAGAGCAACGAGCGUGCCACGUAGGAUUUUUUAUUCAGGCCAAUCAUGAAGCUCUGUUUUGCCACAUCACUUUUAUUUUGUCGACAAAAAAUAUAACAGGUCCAGUAAAUCUGGGCUGAACAAAAAUAAUAGGUCUAUCUUAUUCUACGCAGAAUGUUCGUCGCCUUCACCUCCGACUUUUCCAAUUCACUAUUCUAAUCUCUGCAAUCUCUCUGUAAUUAUUACACCCCAAUCUUGCUCAUUCAAUUCUGAUCUUUUCUCCUAUCUUCAUUAGAGAUUAUCGUUCCACCUUCCUUUAUAACAUUUAAAUAGAAUCAAGGAAAAUUACACUAUAUUAUUAAAGUUGCUUUGAUACCUGAUUUUAUUUUUAUUUUUACGUAAUAGGAGGACUAUUACCCAAAAGAAAGCAAAGACACUUCAGAAGUCAUACAAUCAAUGCACAUUAUACCUCACUAUUUAUCACUUCAAUUGUUAUGACUUAUGAGUAGUGGUGUCAAAAUGAACUAAAUUAGUCAUCUUAUCUUAUACUCGUGAUGAGUUGGGUUUAUCAUAAGCUACCUCAAUUCAUUUAUUAUAUGAGGUUUAAUAUAUAAACUUGAGCUCAUAUGGGUUUGAACAUGGAUUAAAUCACAAUCUAAUAUAAAAUAAAUAAUUGACUGUAACAAUUGGAAAACAAACUUAAAGAACGGUUGUGACUUUAACUAAAGUAGAACUUAAUUAGAGGAUUGAGACUUAUAUCAGUACUUGAUUGUAAGGUGUCACUUAUAUUCAAAAUUGCGAGUAACAAACAGAAUAACGAGUUCUGAUUAACCCGGCUUCCACACGCCAGGAAUAUCAAAGAAGAAAUACAACACCAUGAUCUAUAUUAUUAAUUGUUAUCAACUUAACAACAAAUACAACACCAUGUAGUUAUCAUGUCCAUCACAUGGACAGAGUUUAUAUUAGUUAAUUAAAAUUUCUUUGCUUGAAGCCUACCAAGAAGCUAUACCAAUGGAUCAUACCAAACACAAGAUCUUCAAAGACGAAAUUAUAGGUCAAGCACAAAGAAUGGAUGGUCAUCCAAUGUGCCUUUUCUUGACAAACGCGUAAUACGUCCCAACUACUAACGCAAAGUAAUAAGCUUAGCGAUAAGCGAUUGUAUAAAAAAAAAUACAAAAUAUCUUUAAAGACACGGUCUAGGUCAAGCACAAAGAAUGUAUGGCCAUAACCAAUGUGUUUUCUCUUGACGACGCGUAGUACAUCCUAUGACAAAGUAAUAAGCCAACGAGGUAAGUGAUUGCAAACAUAAGCCGACAAAAAACAGUGUACAUUUAAACUUAACCUAAAUGACACAAAAAACACAUACAGUAUUUGCAUUUGUAGAGAUAGGUGAAAAAAAAAUAAUACAUAAAUAAGGUAGAUAUUUUAGUUGCUAAAGGAUACAACCUAAAUGAAUUUUGGUGUUUUGUCGCAGAGUGACUUCAGUGAUGUCAAUAAAUAAACCAUAAGAUGAAAUGCAAAACACAGCUUUUGAAAAGUAUGGAAGAAAAGAAGGAAAUAUUAUAUAAAUGUUUAUGUUUUCACAGAAGAACGUUAGAGGAACAACAUAAUCCUGCAUUUCUAAUGGCAUGGUUUAGCACCGGUAGACCCCAAUAAUGUGGCUGCAUGAUUCCUAGGGAAGUAAAAGAAGGAUUCAACAAGGUUGUUUGUGAUUAAACUAAACGAACGGUAUCUAGUUCAUUUAGGCUUCCAAGGCCAAAGAAUUUAACUUCCUAUUGUUAAACCAUAAAGUAACAAAAACAAAACUUACUGGAUGAUAGUUCAAUCAAAGCCAUCAAGUUUCUACAAACUUUUUUUUUUUUGCUGUAAAGUUGUAACUGUAAGCUAACUAACUAACCACAGAACAUUCAACAGUACUGUAAAGAGAUUGAACAGUUCUCACGCUGUGGGCAUCCACAACUAACCUGGUAGGCUAGUUGGUGGGUAGAAAUUUUUGUAAGGAGUUUCUAGCAAUACAAAAAUAGAAAAGAAAGAGAAAAUGGAAAUUCUAAUUUUAUAAAAUAUUUAAUUUUAAAGAAUAACUAUUUUCAUAAAUAUAUUAAAUUUGUGGUGAAAAAUACUAAACUAACCCUCUUAAAUCAUUUAUAAAUGUUUAAAAAUUAUUUAUAAAGUUUAUAAAACCAGUCUCAUCCAUAAAUAAGAAACCCUAUAAAUAAUCAUUAAAUUUUAAACUAAAAAUAUUAGAGCAUUUUUUAUUGAAAGUAUAUUUGAAAAGUAAUAUUUAGUUUAUGGUAUUUCAAAUAAUUUCUAAGAGAAAAUAGAUAUAAGUGGUGAUUGGUAAGUGUUGUGAGUGUUUUUCACUGCUCAUUUUCUUUCUACAGCUAGCCAGUUUGGUUUAUCAAUCAUGCUUUAAAUAAAUAAUUUAAAGCUACAGCCCUAAAGUUAAAAAACAAAAAUAUAUUAGCUUUGGGAAUCAAUUUUCUAAAGCUUUAUAUUUAGUACUUUGAAAGCUAUUGAUAUAAAUCUACAGCAGUAAAAUCUACAGCUACACCAGAAAAACUUACAUAAUAAUAUAUUCUAAAGCAAACAAAAUAAAAGCUACAAUCUCUACCAAUUAAAUACUUUUCCAUAAUUUUGAGAGAUUUUAUUGCCACAUCCUAACUGUUUAAUGCUUCAUCACUUUUAUAAAUACAGAAUCACCCGAUUUUUACAUGUGUGAUUUUUAAUGGACUAACCUUGUAAAUUUUAUUUUAAUAGGAAAAUAUGUUAAAACAUUGAUAUCUUUUACCAGUAUUAAAUAUAGAGUAAUUGGCGUAGAUACACUCAGAAACCCAUGUAAUUUGUCAUAUAACCUUGUUUAUUUUAAAUAUUUUUAAUGAUUAUAAUACACUUAUCUCUCUCUCUCUCUCUCUUCUCUCUUUUAUGUGUUCUAAUCUCUUUAUCUCUCGUACAAAUUCUUCAAAUCAUUUUUUAAUUCAACACAAAUUUUUUUUUAUUCUGAUUCUUUUGACACACAUAAUGCUAAUCUUAUUAUCUCACCCCAAUUCCAAUGUUUCCAAUUUCGAAUCACAAUCAACUUUUAGAUAAUAUAUACGUUAGUAAGUAUUUUAUUACUUAUCUGCUAUUAUUUGGAUUUUAAUGGAUUCUUAAUCGAUACAUGAAGUGUUAGCUGUUACAAAUAGAUUUUGAGCUAUUUAAUAGAUAACUAAUUAAUUGUUAAUAGUUUCAUUAACUGAUAUAUGAUUUGUUAGUUGAUACAUUUGUUUGAUACAUAGAUUGUUAGAUGAUACUGAAAUUAUUAGCGGAUAUGUUAGUUGGUAUAUAGAUUGUUACAUGCUAUGUAAAUAUUUAGCUGAUAAAUCUAGAGUUACUUGUUUUCGACAAAUCAUAAGGGCAUUUUCGUCCGCACAGUGUCAAAAGGUUACUUCUUUUUGGGUUAUCCAUAAUUAUGGGCAUUCAGCAAAUUUGGAUCUUAAUUGGGGAUAUUCCACACAUUGUCCUUUUCAUAUACUGAAUAUAUUUGUAAAAUAUAUCAUGAAUAUAUUUGUAAAAUCAAUGGUUAAUUAAUUAAUUCAAAAUUUAAAUGAAUAAGAAUAUUUUUUGCAUAUCCUUUUCAUAUACUUUUAAACUAAUUAUAAAUAGACUCUUUUAAUAUUAUUUUGUACACUUCAUUAUUAAUAAAUAAUAAAUAAAUUUAUAAAUCCCUCGAUAUUCUCUUUUUAAUUAUAGAGAAUUAAUAAUUUUACUAAAUAUUUAGUUAUUUUUUCUGUUUGUUAAAUUUUAACCAUUUUACUAAAAGAUAUUUUCUGGAUAACAGUACAACAUAUAUCAAAAUUAUCUUUUCUUUUUACAUAUAUCUUUAGAUUAUGAAUAAUUUUUAUUUUUAUUAAUUUUAGUCACUUAUCUAAUCAAAUAAAUAUUAAAAUCACUUUGAAAAUAAUAAUAUAGAUAGAUCUUUGUAACAUAUUUAAUAUAUAUAUAUAUAUAUAUAUUCAAAAAAACAUAAAAAUAAGGAUUUUGAAACAAGUUUAAUUGGAUCAAAUCAUAUUAAGUUGUGACCUAAAUAGUUAUCUAGUUUCAUCUUUUGGUCGGGUUUUAAAAAUAGAGAAAAUUGCCAAAAUGGUAUAAAAGAACAACAUGGUUGUCCUUAUAGUAUAAUAUCAACAUGAAGUUGUCCUAAUAGUAUAAUUUUUUUUAUAAUCCCAAAACUAACCUUGAUUAAUCAUAUUAAACAAUUAAAUAUAAUAAUGAAAAUGUUAAAGGUUUAAUUAAAAAAAAUUGUGAUGUCAAAAAAAAAAAUUAAAUAUAAUAAUAUUAAACAUAAAAAUAUAUUUCAUAUUAAACAAUUAAAAAUGUGUUGUCAAAAAAAACAAUUUAACAUAAUAAUAGAUUUCAUAUUAAACAAUUAAGCAUAAUAAUAAAAAAAAAGAAAAGAAAAAACAAAAUGGUAACAAAAAAAGAACAAAAGAAAACCCGAACCCUAAAUUUCUCCCAUACACCACAUAUUGUAUAGAUAUGCAUCAUAGAACAAGAGUUUGUGAAAAUCACAAGAUAAACUAUGAAAAAAUCAUAAGAUUGAUGAAGAAUAAAGGCAAAUUUGAUUUUUUUUUUAUAUCUUGACAUAGAAAAUCGACCAGAACACGUUUUAGGAAGUUAUAAUAUUUUUGGAAUAUUUUUUUAACUGAAACUUCCUUAAUUUUUGUAAAAACAAAUUUUUUUUAUCUGUAGAAGGCACCUUCUAUACUUUGUAGAAUCAUGAAAAAAUACAUAAUGCAAUUUCUACUUCUUGUAUACGUUCGUGUUAAGUACAAAAUGCAAUUUCUACUUUUUAUAGACAUUCAAAUUAAGUCCAGAUUUCGUUUUCUCGAAAUCUUAGAAUACUUCAUAAAAGUAGAAUCUAUAUUCUGAAGAAGAGUAGCGAUAUUUACAAUAUAGAUUUCGUUUUUGAGUCUAUCAGAUAAUCAGAAUCAGCCAAUAAACAGGCAUUAUCACGAAAGUGAUGUCUUAUAAGUACCUUCAACACAUUAGGUUCACCCCAAAGCAAAAUAAACCAAAAAAAUACAAAAAUACAAUAACAGAGCUCUAAUGCAACAAGAAACCAAACAACUUCACUAUAUCCAAAUACAGAAAAUAAUUCAUAUCUUUAAUGAUAAAGCGAUGUGUAAAGAUAUACCAAAAAUAUUUACUUUUUCUUCUCAUAAUUGAUGUUGUAACCCUUAAUCUAGUGGUUUAAGGUUCAUUACUUCUUUUACACCAGAAGGUGUGGAAUUUAAACCCCAGAAAUUGCAAAUUAUACAGAUUAUGGAAAAAAAAGUUACAAGAGGUCUUCAUUACACAAUUAGGGAGCUAGAGGAAAUGCAUCUCAAGUACAUCAGUUAGUAGGUACGAGAGGAUUAAUGUCGGAUCCCCAAAGACAAAUGAUUGAUUUACCUAUUCAAAGCAAUUUACGCGAAGAACUGUCUUUAACAGAAUAUAUUAUUUUUUGCUAUGGAGCCCGUAAAGGAGUUGUAGAUAUUGCGGUCCACACAUCAGAUGCUGGAUAUCUUACGCGUCGACUUGUUGAAUUAGUUCAAUAUAUUGUUGUACUUCAGGAGAAAUUAUAAAAAAUAGAAGUAUAUUUACGUUAAGUAUAUAUAUAAUAUAUAGAAGUAUAGAACUAAUAUAUGUAUAUGUUUAAUAUUAAAUCUUAAAGCAUUCAGAAUUUAUUUCUUAUAAUAUUUAUUUCUUAUAAAUUUUCUAAACAGAAUAAAAAUAUUCUUAUA